UUCCGUAGGUGAACCUGCGGAAGGAUCAUUCACACGAAUCCAAUCUCAAACCGUGGACCUAACGAGGGUCUGGGACCUGCUGUGCCUUUGCGCCUCGGGACCCAGGUCCGAAGGACGCAGUCCCGUCCGUCCCACUUGCCAAACGGCGGGUGUUGCCCCGUAUCUACGGGUGCCCCCGCCGGGGAUGGGUCCCGCGCCGAGUGUUUCCGGCGCAGUGGAUAGGGGCCGUGUCGAUUUUUCUCAACUCCUACUCGCACCGAUGAGACAACUUAUAACAACUAAAACUUUCAGCGAUGGAUGCCUCGGCUUGGGUACCGAUGAAGGACGCAGCGAAAUGCGAUACGCAUUGUGAAUUGCAGAAUUCCGCGAAUCAAUAGGUUUCUGAACGCAUUCUGCACUUUCGGGGUCUACCCGGAAGUACGCCUGGUUCAGUGUUUCCUGUUCUUCGUGCCAGCCGCAUUGCGCGGUCAACUGGCGUUGUUGUGCGCUAACGGGUUUCGACCCCGCUGGCGCAUGAAUGGCAUCAGGGCUCGCUCCCGCUCGGUCAGGAUGAUCCCAGUCUCUGGGUUUUGUUAUGAUCGUCGGGGAGGCUCCGAGGGACCUGACGCUUCACUUUCCAUGCAAACCUGAACUCAGGCGAGGCUACCCGCUGAACUUAAGCAUAUCA
rnacentral:rRNA from 1 species